UUCCGGUUGAUCCCGCCGGAGGUCACUGCUAUCGGUGUCCGAUUAAGCCAUGCGAGUCGAGAGGUGUAAGACCUCGGCAGACUGCUCAGUAACACGUGGAUAACGUGCCCAAGGGUCCGGGAUAACCCCGGGAAACUGGGGAUAAUACCGGAUGGGUCACCAGUGCUGGAAUGCUUGGUGGUCGAAAGGUGACGCCUUUGGAUGGGUCUGCGGCGGAUUAGGUUGACGCCGGUGUAACGUACCGGCGUGCCUGUAAUCCGUACGGGUUGUGGGAGCAAGAGCCCGGAGAUGGAUUCUGAGACACGAAUCCAGGCCCUACGGGGCGCAGCAGGCGCGAAAACUCUACAAUGCAGGCAACUGCGAUAGGGGGACAUCGAGUGGCAUCCACCUUGGGUGUCUGUCCAACCGUCUAAAAAACGGUUGUUAGCAAGGGCCGGGCAAGACCGGUGCCAGCCGCCGCGGUAAUACCGGCGGCUCGAGUGGUGGCCGAUAUUAUUGAGUCUAAAGGGUCCGUAGCCGGCUUUGCAAGUCCCCUGGGAAAUCCGGCGGCUUAACCGUUGGGCUUUCAUGGGAUACUACAUUGCUUGGGACUGGGAGAGGUAGGAGGUACUCGGGGGGUAGGGGUGAAAUCCUGUAAUCCUCCGGGGACCACCGGUGGCGAAGGCGUCCUACCAGAACAGGUCCGACGGUGAGGGACGAAAGCUAGGGGCACGAACCGGAUUAGAUACCCGGGUAGUCCUAGCCGUAAACGAUGCCCGCUAGGUGUCACGACGGUCGUGAAUCGUCGUGGUGCCGUAGGGAAGCCGCGAAGCGGGCCACUUGGGAAGUACGGCCGCAAGGCUGAAACUUAAAGGAAUUGGCGGGA
rnacentral:rRNA from 1 species